AUUGAAUGCUGGCGGCAUGCUUUACACAUGCAAGUCGAACGGCAGCGCGGGCUUCGGCCUGGCGGCGAGUGGCGAACGGGUGAGUAAUACAUCGGAACGUGCCCAGUAGUGGGGGAUAGCUCGGCGAAAGCCGGAUUAAUACCGCAUACGACCUGAGGGUGAAAGCGGGGGAUCUUCGGACCUCGCGCUAUUGGAGCGGCCGAUGGCAGAUUAGCUAGUUGGUGGGGUAAAGGCCUACCAAGGCGACGAUCUGUAGCUGGUCUGAGAGGACGACCAGCCACACUGGGACUGAGACACGGCCCAGACUCCUACGGGAGGCAGCAGUGGGGAAUUUUGGACAAUGGGCGAAAGCCUGAUCCAGCAAUGCCGCGGGUGUGAUGAAGGCCUUCGGGUUGUAAAGCACUUUUGGCGGGAACGAAAAGGACUGUGCCAAUACCACGGUUCGAUGACGGUACCCGCAGAAUAAGCACCGGCUAACUACGU
rnacentral:rRNA from 1 species